GGACUCUGUGGUUUGGCCACAGCGCACUGCGCCUCCACAAGCCCAGAUGGGGGUUGAGACAGUUACCCACAGGGUGGGGCAGGAGGGUGCAGCGGGCUUCCCUUCCCUUCUCUGCCCUUCCCAGCAGCCUUACUGCUGCCCUGCAUCGCCUGGGUUGUGGCCUCCAACUCCAGCAAGAGAAGGGCCUGUGGAGGAAUGACUGGGGCCUGAGGAGGCUCCUGAGAGCAAAAAGCAGGAGACCAGCACGGGCCCCUUCACAAGAGCCAGGUCAAGGGAUGGGAAGGUGGUGGGCCUGGAGAAGGCCCAAGUAGCCUCGGCCCCCACUGGGAAGGCUUCUAUGUCCACCAUGAAGCCAUAGGCCCCUUCUGCCCUGUCUGCCCCAAGGCCCUGGGUCCCCACCUUGAUGCAGCCUUUGUCGCCCUGUAUUGUAAUGACCUACCCCACUGCACCCACCAGAUGCAGCGAUGGCCGCCGUCGGAACACCAUGGGGGUGACAAUGAAUCUGAAGAGAUCAGAGAGAUCUGAAGAGGGCUUCCAGAAGGAGCCCAAGGGGCUUCUGCCCAGGGAAUCCCCCUGGAAAAGCUCUCACAAAAGAACGGCAGGUUUGCCCACCAUCCAGGACACCCUGAGAGAAGCGCCUCGAGGCUGCAUAGAAAGGAAGAAGUCAGGCUCCAAACAGAGACGUUCCUUGGAGAGUUGGAGGAGAUUCCUUAAACUGCGAACUGCGGAUGCUUCCUUGUGCUUGUUACUGGGGCCGCCCACCAUCAGUUUCUACAGUGGGAUUAGCAGUAAGUUCUUUAACUCAGUGGGGAACUGAUUGCUGAUUUGUUUGUUUGGAGGAAUGAGGCAGAAGGGAGGAGCCUAGGAG
rnacentral:lncRNA from 1 species